rnacentral:lncRNA from 1 species
GACAGAUGAGCCAAAGUCUUUGGAGCACUGGUAUAUGUAGAUCUUGUCACCAUAUGAAUGAGACUGUGAUGGCAUGGAAAUGCAUGUAGCCAAGGCUUUAUGCUACAAAAUCUAGGGAUGAGAGUCUCUCCCUGAAUGUUUGAAAACUCCAGACAAGAGCUAACAGUGAGGAUGCACCAGCUCCUCACUCUUCCUAGCUUCUGCUAUUAGUCUCUCCCCUGAAUGCAGUCUACUAAUACCCAGCACUGCCUUCCAGCAUUGCAUCAAGGAAGAAGCUAAAACUCCACACAGAUGGGAGCCCAUGUACUCCAACCUAUUUUGUCCAGACUCCGAAGGCCAACGCGGAAGUAAAAAGUAUCUUCUCAUCUACAGGGACAAUAUGAAAUUAUUGUUUAAUCUGAAAUCUGCACAUAGAAUAAAAUAGAGACA